rnacentral:lncRNA from 1 species
CAACGUGUAAAAGUUAUUAAAAAUGCAUCUCAUAAAAAUAUGUACUUCUACACAAAUAAGCUUGAUACCAUUACCCUAUUUGAAAUACUUACAUCGUAUCCACAUUGAGGUUCUCCCGUUUGUCAACAUAAGUUUUUUUAUUAGUCCGUUCACCCUUGGGAUUCAAUCAAGAGUCUAACUGGGAAGACCCAGGCCUUUUUUGAAUAUUUGUGCUACCACUGAUUUAAUCUAGGCAUCUGAAAUAACUGUAGGCUAGAAGUUGGGCCUAAAAAUUUUAAUUUUCAGGUUAAAACUUCUGUGUCAGAACAAAAGUUGAUAUUAUACAAUGUAUGGCCUUUCCAGGAUUAGUGUCAAUUUUGGACACAUGCUUACCUGAUCUGAUAGGUGAUGCCUAUAUUAAGUCACUGAAGAUUUGUGAAGUCUAAUCAUAAACAGCAUUCAACCUUGAAACUCUUCAGUUGGCUUGUAAGAUAUUACACUUGCCCGAUUUUCCUCUAUUGGCUGCUGCUGCUCAGUCUUCUUUUGCCCACUCUUAAUUUCCCUAAACGUUAAUAAAUUCAUAGGCAUGCCCCAGAGCUUGACUGUGGAUUUAUUACCUCAACAUGGUUCAGUGCAUGAUAUACAUUUAGAUUGCAUGAAUUCAGUAAGUGCAUAGCAAAAUUAAAGUAGGGUUACUUUUUCAUCUCAGGAAAUCUCUGCUUUCAGACAGAUGUGAAUUUGCUAGUCCUAAGACUAGUAAUUUUAUGUCUUAUAAGACAUGAUAUGAGUGUUUUAAAGUUUUCUAAAUUUCAUCUGGUGCUCAUCUGUCAUCUGAAAGCUGCAGGAAACCAUACUGUACAUAUUAAUGGUGUCCUCAUUAAU